UACAGAGGCCUCGAGCGUUAGGCGGAAUCACUGGGCUUAACGCGUGUGUAGGCGGACUUCUAAGUACCUUGUGAAAUCCCACGGCUCACCCGUGGAACUGCUGGGUAUACUGGUCGUCUUGAGCCUUCUAGGGGCUACCGGAACAAAUGGUGGAGCGGUGAAAUGCGUAGAUAUCAUUUGGAACGCCAAUGGUGAAAACAGGUAGCUGGGGAAGUGCUGACGCUGAGACACGAAAGCCAGGGGAGCGAACGGG
rnacentral:rRNA from 1 species